GAUGAACGCUGGCGGCGUGCUUAACACAUGCAAGUCGAACGAAGCACCUCUCCCGAAGAUUGACACAGCUUGCUGUAGAUUGAUUCAUUUGAGGUGACUGAGUGGCGGACGGGUGAGUAACGCGUGGGUAACCUGCCUCAUAGAGGGGGACAACAGUUGGAAACGACUGCUAAUACCGCAUAGUAAGAAGAAUUCGCAUGUUUUCUUCUUGAAGGAUUUAUCGCUAUGGGAUGGACCCGCGUCUGAUUAGCUAGUUGGUAAGGUAACGGCUUACCAAGGCGACGUUCAGUAGCCGGCUUGAGAGAGUGAGCGGACACAUUGGCACUGGGACACGGCCCAAACUCCUACGGGAGGCAGCAGUGGGGAAUAUUGCACAAUGGGGGAAACCCUGAUGCAGCGACGCCGCGUGAGUGAAGAAGUAUUGCGGUAUGUAAAGCUCUAUCAGCAGGGAAGAUAAUGACGGUACCUGACUAAGAAGCCCCGGCUAACUACGUG
rnacentral:rRNA from 1 species